AUUGAACGCUGGCGGCAUGCCUUACACAUGCAAGUCGAACGGCAGCACGGGAGCAAUCCUGGUGGCGAGUGGCGAACGGGUGAGUAAUAUAUCGGAACGUGCCCAGUCGUGGGGAUAACGUAGCGAAAGCUACGCUAAUACCGCAUACGAUCUAUGGAUGAAAGCGGGGGAUCGCAAGACCUCGCGCGAUUGGAGCGGCCGAUAUCAGAUUAGGUAGUUGGUGAGGUAAAGGCUCACCAAGCCGACGAUCUGUAGCUGGUCUGAGAGGACGACCAGCCACACUGGGACUGAGACACGGCCCAGACUCCUACGGAGGCAGCAGUGGGGAAUUUUGGGACAAUGGGCGCAAGCCUGAUCCAGCAAUGCCGCGUGCAGGAUGAAGGCCUCGGUU
rnacentral:rRNA from 1 species